AUUGAACGCUGGCGGCAUGGCUAAAACAUGCAAGUCGAACGAUCCCUUCGGGGAGAGUGGCGAAAGGGCGAGGAAUAGAAUCGAAUGUACCCCAAGGUGGGGGAUAGCCUCUGGAAACGGAGGGUAAUACCCCAUGUGCUCUACGGAGGAAAGGUUUACCGCCUUGGGAGCAGCGAUUCUCCUAUCAGGUAGUUGGUGAGGUAACGGCUCACCAAGCCGAAGACGGGUAGCGGGUGUGAGAGCAUGACCCGCCGCAUCGGGACUGAGACACUGCCCGGACUCCUACGGGAGGCUGCAGUAACGAAUCUUCCGCAAUGGGCGAAAGCCUGACGGAGCAAUGCCGCGUGUGGGAUGAAGCAUCUUCGAUGUGUAAACCACUGUCAGGGUCUAGGAAUACUGACCAGACCCAAAGGAAGGGCCGGCUAAUUCCGUGCCAGCAGCCGCGGU
rnacentral:rRNA from 1 species